UACGAGGGGUCCUAGCGUUGUUCGGAAUUAUUGGGCGUAAAGAGUAUGUAGGCGGCCAUACAAGUCAGUUGUGAAAGCCCCGGGCUCAACCUGGGAAGUGCUUCUGAUACUGCAUGGCUUGAAUAUUGGAGAGGAUAGUAGAAUUCCAGGUGUAGUGGUGAAAUACGUAGAUAUCUGGAGGAAUACCGGUGGCGAGGGCGGCUAUCUGGCCAUAUAUUGACGCUGAGAUACGAAAGCGUGGGGAGCAAACAGG
rnacentral:rRNA from 1 species